UUAUACCUACGGGGGGCAGCAGUGGGGGAUAUUGGACAAUGGGGGAAACCCUGAUCCAGCGAUGCCGCGUGAGGGAAGAAGGUUUUCGGAUUGUAAACCUCUGUGGAGGGGGACGAUAAUGACGGUACCCCUUUAGGAAGCCACGGCUAACUACGUGCCAGCAGCCGCGGUAAUACGUAGGUGGCGAGCGUUGUCCGGAAUUACUGGGUGUAAAGGGAGCGUAGGCGGGACGGCAAGUCAGAUGUGAAAACUGAGGGCUCAACCUUCAGACUGCAUUUGAAACUGUUGUUCUUGAGUGAAGUAGG
rnacentral:rRNA from 1 species